AUGCUCGUCGUGGAUGAUCAUAGCCACUAUAUGUGGGCUAUGAUGCUGCCAGCGAAGGAUGUUGCCACGGCCAGCAUCAAGCAGUUCGUUGCUGCGGCAGAGGUGGAGCAAGGUGCACGUCUGCGCUUGUUCUGGACGGACCGGGGCGGCGAGUUCACUUCCAGCGCGCUCGGCGAGUACUUCGCAGAACAAGGCGUACAGAGGCAUCUGACGGCGCCUUACUCGCCGCAGCAGAACGGCGUGGUGGAACGGCGUAAUCAGACCGUUGUUGGCAUGGCGAGGACCAUGCUCAAGGCGAAGAACAUGCCGAGCUGGUUUUGGGGGAGGCCGUGGCGACUGCGGUGUUCAUUCUCAACAGAUCCUACACCCGCAGCGUCAAUGGCAAAACCCCGUACGAGGUGUGGUACGGCAAGAAACCUGCCGUGCAUUUACUGUGCACUUUCGGCUGCGUCUUCUACGUCAAGAACACGCGGCCCGGGCUGA
rnacentral:rRNA from 1 species